rnacentral:tRNA from 1 species
GGGGAAUUAGCUCAGCUGGGAGAGCGCCUGGUUUGCAACCAGGAGGUCACCGGUUCGAGCCCGGUAUUCUCCAC